rnacentral:rRNA from 1 species
GACGAACGCUGGCGGCGUGCUUAACACAUGCAAGUCGAACGGAGAUUCAGCAAUGGAUCUUAGUGGCGAACGGGUGAGUAACGCGUAGGCAAUCUGCCUUCUAGAUGGGGACAACAUCCCGAAAGGGGUGCUAAUACCGAAUGUUGUACCGUUUCCGCAUGGAGAUGAUACUAAAGGUGGCCUCUGAAUAUGCUACCGCUAGAAGAUGAGCCUGCGUCUGAUUAGCUAGUUGGAGGGGUAACGGCCCACCAAGGCUUCGAUCAGUAGCCGGUCUGAGAGGAUGAACGGCCACACUGGGACUGAGACACGGCCCAGACUCCUACGGGAGGCAGCAGUGGGGAAUCUUCCGCAAUGGACGAAAGUCUGACGGAGCAACGCCGCGUGAGUGAAGAAGGUUUUCGGAUCGUAAAGCUCUUUCGUUAGGGACGAACGUGCUCUUUGUGAAUAAUGAGGAGUAAUGACGGUACCUAAAUAAGAAGCCACGGCUAACUACGUGCCAGCCGCCGCCGUAA